rnacentral:lncRNA from 1 species
UUGAUUGGCAUGACAAGAUGUUCACUGAUGAAGCUGGAAUUGUGUUGAAAAAGUCGUAUCAAGUAUGAAGUAGAUCUUUGCAAUAAGCUGGGAUGAUCCUUUUUGAAACAAUAAUUGGUACUUGAAUUAUAUAAGGUAAGCUAAUUUAUUUUGUUAUUGUGUUACAAUUACUAAUUUUCAUGGUGUGUUUAUGUGAAAUCCCUGUAAAAUUAUGUUGUUAGAUUGUAAAUUUCCUAUUGAAAUUAAGGUGCAUGUCAUUACAUAUACUCCACAUUCUCACUUGCUCCUGCACCAAUAGGAAAGGACAGUAUAUGAAUUUUUCGCCUAGGAAUCUUUCUUUAUGAGGUGCUUUAUAAUGUCUUAAGCAAGUCACAUGACCUUCCUUUUUAAACCAAAAUCAAAUGGAAAAAUCACUUGGAUCGUUAGUUUUGCUAUUCAUCUAUUACUAACAGGAUUCUGACUAAUUAGUAACUUUUUUUCAUUUUUAUGUGUAUCUUCUUCGCUGACUAUGAACAAAAUUAUGAACUAUCUGAAUAUGUUUUUUUCCUUGAGAAAGACUACUUUAUCAUCAACAUCUGUAUAUCAACAAGAACCUUUAGUGGUAUUUUACAUAGGAGUUACAUUGACAAUACAUAGCACUAUUCACCAUAGAUCUAUAUUUGUAUUAUAGUUAGACUACCCUUUUCUAAUAGUCUUCUAAAACUUGCACUUAUUAAUGAUUCAUAUAUUGUUGGUGAAAUAUUUCAGACUGUACAAAAUUUCGCCUACCAACAGAAUAUGACAAAUAAAAACGACAAAUGUUGUUAUAAGCUUCUCACCUCAAGAACCAUCUCCACAAUCAACAGCAAAAGCUUAAAUGUAAAUGUGAGGUUUCCUUCAAUGUCAUUUCAUUUUGUAUGGAUAAAAUUGCAUAAUGAUUGUCUGGUAUGGGCGAACCCAGAGAAGAGGUGACACCUUAUGCAAUAGAUGUUACCUUUGCCUUUUUUUGCACUGUCCAUUUUUAUCUCAGCUAUCUGGUGUGGUUUUUGAGUGAGUUCAAAUUUAAUUUAGAUGAAUUUGCUUCAUAAUUGCUAUUUUUGCUUCAAAGUGCUAUUUCUUGGUGAAGAUCAAGCAACAAACAACAAAUCAUUUAUUAUGUUUAGUAAUAUAGAGAAGACUUUCCAUAAAAUUCUCAUCUUUGGUAGCUAUCUAUUCUUCAUUGUCAUUUUAUUAAUUAGUACCAGGUACUGCUCACCUGCAAUUCUCAUUUGCUUUUGAAGGAACACAAAUUUGUGUGUUAUCAGUUGUUUAAAAUUGAUUGAAUUUGGUAAAACACAGUUUGAAGCUUGGCUAAAAUAAAAGGAAAAAUUUUCUCAUUUCCCUUUGCUUCUGUUAAUGAUAAAUCAUCCUGCCCUUUUUUAUCAAGUAAACAUAAAUCAUUAUGCUUUUGCUGAUUAAUGGGACAUAUUAGCUUUAACAUGCUUUAUUCUUUCAUCCCUUGCACUCGAACCAGGCACUCCUAACAUGAUUAUGGCACUUGCUUCAAAUUAGGCAAAUAAUUAAAUGCAUUUGAAGUUGUCGCACAAGUUAGUCUAUAUCAUUCUUUUAUUGCAUCAUAAUAUUAUAUUUUGUACAUGCUAAUCUGUAGAAACAUACAAAGAAAUAAGUGGUGGUUGUAUACAGUAGUGAGUUAUUUCAAUUAAAACAGUAUAUUCUCUUUAUAGUUUAUGAUUAGACUGGUAUAAAAAAAAUUUAAUGUAGUAUUCUGAAGUAAGCAACAGCCAUGGGGAAAGUACCAAAUAGCAAUGAAAUGCUUCAUAAAAAAGGUACGUAAACAAAGCUCUAAUUUUAUUAUCAACUGACAAUAAUAUUUUCACACGCUAACAGAAGGAUAUUUACGUUAGAAUAUAAUGCUGAGCAAUAUCUCUUUCUCCAAAGAAAAUUUCUCCAUACAUUAGUAAGGGGCAUAAAUAAUUAAUUUCAAACAUAUGCAUUUCUAGAUUGCUAUGAGUCUUCUCGAAGCUCACAUAAUAAAUAUCUAACUAGCUGGGUAACUCCAAGGAAGAGGUUGUCUUUCCUGUAAAGUAUGAAGGAUAAUUGGAGAAAGAUGGUAUAUGAUGCUUGAUACUUCCGUGCUAAUAGAAUGAGACGGUAGCACAAUAAAUUUCUCCAUUAUAUGUUUAUGUUACAAGGGGGUCCAUAUCAGGAUAGUUUCACUAGCGAGGGUUGAAUAGAUCAUUCCAAGGGAGUGACUGAAAGAAACUUUAGAUGUUACUUAUGACACACACCCACACGCACUUUUACUCUCCUUUUUAGGUCUUCUAUUCGGUUCCUACUUUUUGUUGUUUAUCUUCUAACUCUAAUCAUCCUAAAGCAUUUGCAGUGGCAGGUAAUUUGAGAGUUCAAAAGGAAAAUGAUUUGAGAUGUUCGAAGAUGGACUUCCAUCAAUUUCUCAGGUGCAAUGAUCAGAAAAGUUUUGUUACCUUAACAAUUUUCCAAUACUCUUUGCUGAAUACCUUAGCUAGACUCAAAUCAAACUAUCCAACCCAAGAGGUGCUACCAACAACUAGCUAGGAACUAGGAAGGAUGACGCGAAA